rnacentral:rRNA from 1 species
AUUGAACGCUGGCGGCAGGCCUAACACAUGCAAGUCGAACGGUAACAGGAAGAAUCUUGCUUCUUUGCUGACGAGUGGCGGACGGGUGAGUAAUGUCUGGGAAACUGCCUGAUGGAGGGGGAUAACUACUGGAAACGGUAGCUACUACCGCAUAAUGUCGCAAGGCCAAAGAGGGGGACCUUCGGGCCUCUUGCCAUCGGAUGUGCCCAGCUGGGAUUAGCUAGUAGGUGGGGUAACGGCUCACCUAGGCGACGAUCCAUAGCUGGUCUGAGAGGAUGACCAGCCACACUGGAACUGAGACACGGUCCAGACUCCUACGGGAGGCAGCAGUGGGGAAUAUUGCACAAUGGGCGCAAGCCUGAUGCAGCUAUGCCGCGUGUAUGAAGAAGGCCUUCGGGUUGUAAAGUACUUUCAGCGGGGAGGAAGGGAGUAAAGUUAAUACCUUUGCUCAUUGACGUUACCCGCAGAAGAAGCACCGGCUAACUCCGUG